rnacentral:tRNA from 1 species
CUAAAUUUUUACGGGAUCAAGGCCCGUCGAUCUAG